rnacentral:rRNA from 1 species
UACGUAGGUGGCAAGCGUUGUCCGGAUUUAUUGGGUUUAAAGGGUGCGUAGGCGGUCUAUUAAGUCAGUGGUGAAAUACUCCAGCUUAACUGGAGGGGUGCCAUUGAUACUGAUGGACUUGAGUCAAGUCGAGGUAGGCGGAAUUGACGGUGUAGCGGUGAAAUGCGCAGAUAUCAGGAGGAACACCGAUGGCGAAGGCAGGUCUCUGGGCCGAUACUGACGCUGAGGAGCGAAAGCGUGGGGAGCGAACAGG